UGCCCCAUGGCUGAGUUGGUUACAGCGUCCGACUGUUAUUGCACGGUAUACGCAUCAUAUCAAUCGGAAGGUCGAGAGUUCGAGCCUCUCUGGGGCAG
rfam:Lentinula edodes NBRC 111202 DNA, contig: scaffold168.